rnacentral:tRNA from 1 species
ACUUAAAUAGCUUAUUUAGAGUUUAAUAUUGAAGAUAUUAAGGAAGUUUAAAACUUUUAAGUA